CAACUGCACCUCUAGGGCUGCACAAUUAAUCGAAUUUUAAUCACGAUCACGAUUUUGGCUUCCCACGAUCAAAUUUGCGUGAUCAAGCGAUAUUUCAAAUGCGUGCUCUACCCAUAGAACCAACCUGGCAACCCAUAGAACGCUCCGCUACAAAACAAAUCAAGCGCUCCUUAAACCUGUCUGACCAUGUGCCUGCA